CAGCAUGAUGGGGACAUUUUCUGAUAAGGUCCUUUAAUCUUUCCCAUGACUCGUGGAACUACUCACCAUCUUGCUGCAAGAAGAUAGUGAGAGCUCUCCUUAUUUG
rnacentral:snoRNA from 1 species